rnacentral:rRNA from 1 species
UACGUAGGGUGCGAGCGUUAAUCGGAAUUACUGGGCGUAAAGCGUGCGCAGGCGGUUCGUUAUGUCCGAUGUGAAAGCCCCGAGCUCAACUUGGGAAUGGCAUUGGAAACUGGCGGGCUGGAGUGUGGCAGAGGGGGGUGGAAUUCCCGGUGUAGCGGUGAAAUGCGUAGAGAUCCGGAGGAACCCCAGAGGCGAAGGCGGCCCCCUGGCUCGUACCUGACGCUCAGCCACGAAAGCAUGGGGAGCGAACGGG